GUCUCCCACCUCCGCCGCUCUCUCCUUCUAGGGUUCGUCUUCAUUUUCUUGGAGUUUGAUCUUGGUGAUCGAUCUAACCAUUUUCUUGGUGCACUCUGUUAUUUUUGGUGAGUUUUAGAUCUUGAUGAAGAUUCCGUCGCGCAACUAUAUUAAACGAGGUAAAAUACUUGUCAUUCUUAUAUUAACUUUCCUAAUAUCUAGGUUUACAUCAUCAUCCUUCUACGCCUUUUCGCUAUUUUUUUAUGGUUCUUUCUUGAUGAUUUAACCAUUUUGGUCGAUGUUGUUGCAGACAAACCCUACCAUGUCAUUUUCGGUGCGUUUUUUUGAUUUAGACAAAGAUUUCAAAGCGUAAUCAACUACCAAAUAAGGUCAGAUAUUCACCGGCCCUCUUAUAUCAAUAUUUCUACUUUCUAGGUUUACAUCAUCAUAUAUGCUCCAUAUUUUUAAACAUUUGAGCAUCCAUGUCAUGUUUUUUUUCUCAUUUUUGUAAAUGUUUUUUUGUUGCAUUUGACCGCAAACGCUAAAGCAGAUAUGGAAUUUUAUUUUCCAGUGAAACUUUAGUUAUACGCUCUACUCUCCAUUUGAUCGCCUCGGAGUCAUUUAAUUAACAAUUCCUAGGUAAGCACAAACAUGUACCAUUUAAGGAUAAUAAAAGUGACGAUUUUUUACAUUUAUUUUUCGAUUGUAGGGAAUCUGAUACGAGGUAAAUCUUUGGAUGAUAACGUGAUAUGUAAGAACCUACCAAUAUCUUGAGUAUGCAAGAGUUAAUUGGUAUAGAGGGACAUCUUCAUCAACCUAGGUUAGCAAUCUGGCAACGAUCGAAGUAGUAGAAGUCAAGCAUCCUUGGAUGAUGCACCAUAUAUCUGAUCUAAGCUUACAAAACCCAAUCCCAUUGUUCAUCGAUCUUUUUUUAUGUUUUCAUAUCCAUAUAUACCUCCACAUCCACUCCUCGAUGGAAUUCAAAUAAAACAAUGAGUACAUGCUCCAUUAUCCACAACCUUCGAUGUACUUGUGCGGGAUUGGAAUGGAUUGAGAUCGAACCUGAUCUAGAUUUCAUCGUCUUCCAACAUAUUUCCUGAUCAAAAUACGAUCCCAUUAUUCUCAGACAAUCUCAAUAUUCCAUGGUUUCAAUAUUGGAGAAUAAUGGCAUCGUAUUUUAUUGGGGAACAUGUUGGGAGAUGAUGAAAUUGGAUUCAGUUUCGAUCUCGAUCCAUGCCAAUCAUGUACCAGCACAUCCAAGGUUGUUGAUAAUGUAGUAGUUGUAUAUUUGAGCUCCAUUAAGGAUGAUAUAAUUUGAUUCUUUCAUGAUCUUUGAAGGUUCUUAUAUUAGCUUGAACAGAUAUUGCUUGAUCCACUGAACAAAAUUAAAAGAUGUUGAUGAUGCAAAAAAGGUUAAAAUCUUUUGAAGCUUAAAAGAAUAAUCAACCAUCUUUUUACUAGUUUACUAUUUGAGGAGUUGUAAAUUGAAAUUCUCUUUUUUAUUUUGUAAAUAUACAAUGUCAAGUUAAUUUAUUUAAUUACAUAACUACUAUAGAUAUAUUUAUUUUAGGCUGAGUUUCAGGUGUGUCAAGCACUCCAUGUGUCAAGAUGUGCCAAAUCGUUUUACGUUGUUAGAUCUUAACCCUCCGCUUCAC
rnacentral:lncRNA from 1 species